GCCUUCGUGGUGUAAUGGUCAGCACACUCGGCGCGUAUUCCAGAGGUCCAGGGUUCGAAUUCCGGCGAGGACA
rnacentral:tRNA from 1 species